AGUAUCCAGAAGCUUCGAACCUCUGUCCUCUGCUGUCCUUCUCGGGUUGUAGCUCAACACCGGCGUGGGCGUAAGUAGGCGCCGUGACCGCCGCUGCACCGCUUCGCCGUCGGUCCUUUGCCUUUCAUCUCUUUGUGUAACAGCUAAGUUUUCUCUUCCUUCCUCUGUUUCGAUGCCAGGCCUUCUCCUUUCUCUUGAAGUAGCAACUUGACCAGACCUCUACAUGUUCUGCAUCGCUGCUGUGUCCGUCACUAGUGCGUCUUGGCUGGACUCCGCUGCUGUUGCAGCAUUUCUGAUGCUCUGUGGCAUCAAUCUGGGAACUGAAGGAAGCAUUUGAUGAGCUGUAAUCACAGAUCAACAAUGAUGGAUCGGAAAAGGCAAAUCGAGAAAGGAGCUGAAUUAAAUAAGGUAAAGGGGUUGAUGACUAGAUAUGACCCUAUUUACAUAUGGCCACGAUGCACUCUUCAUGCAUGUAUUAUAUUAUCUAUGGUUGUUUUAAUCAAAUGGCGACUAGUUCAGAUAUGAUAGACGAGUGAUACUUUACUAAUACUAACAAGUGUUGGCUCUA